UUUUAAAAAUAAAUGAAAUAGUACAUUACUGUCCAGGCCGGAAAUAAAGCAAUUGCCGGCCGAGUAAUAUUGGAAUGACGAGGCGAAGCCGAAAACUUCCCAAAUGAAUUUAAAAGGACGAAACCCCAA